GCUGGUUCAAGGGACGUUCAUGGUGGGCGCGGCGGCUCGUGUGCCGGGGUAGGCUCGUGUGCCGGGGCAGUGGCGAUCUCGCGGACGGAUAGUAGAAAAAAAGGUGAGUCUUUUUGCUGGAAAAAAGAGAAGGUGAGGUUGUAUCUCGUUAGUUGGGUUUCCACUGUUGAUGAAAAUCAUACCUGGCCGAUCUGACGGGGCUGCCUGCAACUUCAGAAUUCGAGCGGAUUGCUGCAUAAUAGUCUUGUUGUAGCCUGGCCGAUCUGUGAAUAUUUGAUUGUAGGUGAAGGAGGGGCGGCCGCCCACUUGACGGUGCUGAUCAGGGCGGCGAGGGAGCCCGGCAGGGGGGCGUCGAUGUAGUGCUGGGCGGUGACGAUCCGAUGUAGGGAUCAAGGUCGCCGUGCAGGGAGGCAUCAAUGCAGUGCAGGGCUGGCGAUGAAAGGCAGGGAGAGGGGCGAGGGACACGAUUAGGUUGAGUUUCCUUUUUUGCGAGUUGGUUAGAUGGUUAGAUUACCGUGAUUUGAGGGGCUGAAGAGGUGGGACGGGGAGUUUCAUAUUUUCAUCUGGUGGAGUACGGUCAGUCUAUGUAAACUGCUAAGCGCACACCAGAUCUCGAAUAAAUCAAUGAUGGUUGUUAGAUGGGGCUGUGCGGGCUUGAUCCUGUGGUGGUGAUAUGGGCGACGAGGCUGUGGACAUUUUGUGGGGUGCACGUAAGAAAGUUUUUGUUUGAUUGUUUAAUAGUAGUGGAGAUAGAAUGGAUGAGCAUUACAAAGUGCAGAUGUUUUGCAAAAUAGAUGAGUCAAAAACUUAGUUUUAGUUUUCCAUAGAAAGCAUUUCGGAGCUACCGAUUUAAACUUGGUGACACCUAAGCUACUUUUGUAGUAUAAACUAGUGGAAUCGAUCAGACCGAGGCACAGUUCGGUGAGUCCGAGAUUGCUAGGGUUUCACUGAGAGUUGAAUUCGGUCACACCGAUUUGCAAGUUUUGGUCAGACUGAAAAGUGCAAGUGUAAUGGCCAAAGCCAAAUUGGUGAGACCGAUUUCCACAACUCGGUCGGUCCGAGAUGAGUUCGACAGAAACCUAACUCUGAAUUUUCGAAUCAAAUCUAGUCUAAAGAAGGUUUUUGCUGGACAAGAUGAUCUCAUACGUGGUAAGAAACAUGGCACUUGCUUUGUGCUAAGAAUCGGAGGAAAGAAUUGCACACAGAUUCGAACUCAUACCCUAGUUCGGUGAUGAGCUUGCUACAACGACAACGGCGGCGUAGAAUUCUGUUGACGGCAACAGAAACUAGCGGCGGGAGGUCAUUGGCGACGAGAGGACGAUCCGGAGACCCGAGACGACAGAGAAGGACACGCGUGGGCGAAAGGGUUUUGGAGGAAUUUCCAAAAUUUGACCCGUCGGUAUAUAUAUCGUGACCUUGUCGGUGUGACCGAGUGGAACAACUCGGUGGCACCGAGAUGCAGAAUUGCAAGUUGUUACUGCAACUCGGUGUGACUAAAUGGUUUUAAUCGAUUGCAUCCAGAUUAAAACUAGAUCAAGGCAAUGAACUCAGUUUGACCAAAAAGAAUGAAUCGGUCAGACCGAAAUGCACACGGAGAUUUUGGAAGUUUAAGUCUAUGAUGAAUCGAUGACUCUGAGUGCUCCUCACACAGAGGGUUCGAAUCUGACUUGAUCAAACUUUGUGAUAUAGCAUGAAUAUAGUUUGAGACGAGAAAAUCAUAGAUAACUAUAGGAAGUUCUUAGGCAUUCUUGUUCAUCCAUUUGGCAAAAGAAAAAGAUCCAAAAAUCAAAGCAACAAAUGGAUGUCCUUAAAUGAGUAAAAUAUGCAAUCAACAUGCUCACACAAUAAAAUGUCAAAUAAAAUAUGUGAGAAAGCAUCCACAAACACUCUAGAAUCUAUCAAACAAUUGGCGAUGACUAGGUCAUCUAUAUAUGAGUAUAUUGACUUAGGAGUCAAAUGAGAACAUUUGAUCAUAGGUCAUAUUCAUCGUUUGAGCAUAAGUGGGGUUACCACUUUUACAUAAAGUAUUAUUGUGUUCACAUCAUUAGAGUUGCUUUAGCUCAAUAUUUAGAGUAAAUCUCCUUCUAGAUGUGAUGUCCCCCCUUAAAAGGGAUAAACUAACCUUGGGUUUUGUCGAUGAUGACUUCAUGUAGAUGUUGAAGAUGUGGAUGCUCAAUGUUGAUGUAGAUCAUUUGGAGCAAUCCAUUGGAGUAAGUUGCACUUUCAAUACCUACACGGGUUAGUUCCACAAGGAACAAGCAAGGAUAUCCAUAGACAUAGAGUGAAGUGCACACAAGAUGAUGUCCAUGAAAGCAUUAGGUUACCUUGUCCCUUGACUUACCAACAAGAGGGUUUGUGAGUCCUUGAACUAGUGCAAGAUGUGAAAGUUGUUUGCACUUGUCCACGCCAAAGUGAUAUGAGUGACGUAUGUUGGCGGAGUCACCCUCAAGAACUUUCUAGUUCUUCUUCUUCAGGAUCCACAUCAACUUGAUGGGAAUCCUUGGAGUUGUAGUCAUACUUGAUGAGGUGGAACUUGAUGUAGUCUUGGAAACCCACUUGACCAAGGCCUUGUGAGCUUCUUCAAAUGCAUCAAUCUCCUCUUGAAUCUUGU
rnacentral:lncRNA from 1 species